rnacentral:rRNA from 1 species
UUAUCGGAGAGUUUGAUCCUGGCUCAGGACGAACGCUGGCGGCGUGCCUAAUACAUGCAAGUCGAGCUGACAGAUGG